GGGAAGGGUAAGUCGAUCUCUAAGGCGAGGCCGAAAGGCGUAGAAGGUGGGAAAAUGGUUAAUAUUCCAGUAACAAUGAGUAAUGAGAUGUGAGGGCGGAGAAGUAUAAAUAAGCCUGGAGUAGGUAGUGAAGGCGAAAGGAAGAAGGCAUGAAUCUUAGGCAAAUCCGGGGUACUCUAUGCUGAGAUCUGAUAGCAAGCUGUACUUGUACAGCGAAGUGGUUGAUGCCAUGCUUCCAGGAAAAGUCUCUAAGCUUCAGUUACACAGGAAUCGUACCCGAAACCGACACAGGUGGUCAGGUCGAGUAGACCAAGGCGCUUGAGAGAACUCUGCUGAAGGAACUAGGCAAAAUGGUACCGUAACUUCGGGAGAAGGUACGCUGUUGUUGGUGAUGGAACUUGCUUCCUGAGCUGACGACAGCCGCAGAAACCAGGCCGCUGCAACUGUUUAUUAAAAACAUAGCACUCUGCAAACACGAAAGUGGACGUAUAGGGUGUGAUGCCUGCCCGGUGCUGGAAGGUUAAUUGAUGGGGUUAGCGUAAGCGAAGCUCUUGAUCGAAGCCCCAGUAAACGGCGGCCGUAACUAUAACGGUCC
rnacentral:rRNA from 1 species